GAUAAUUAAUGUCAGUGCAUGUAUUAAAGCUUUUUGCCUUCUUCACAUUCGUCGAGAUACUUUGGUUAUUUUUACUUUUAUGGGGAUUACACUAGUUUGCAAUUAUUUGAGUUACAAAAAAUUCUGAUUUUGUUCUGCCACCCUCUGGUUAGUACAAAAAAUAAAGUAAUACUGUGAUGAAUGGUUGUUUGGGGAGCAAUCCAGUGCUGUAUGAUGCAUUCAAUUGCUGGAAAG